rnacentral:lncRNA from 1 species
AUGAGCGACGGAAAAGCGGCGCCUCACAGCGUACAGUACAAGUCGAGAAUGAGCGGAGGGAGCAGCAGUGUGCAGAUGGAGGAUCGCAACAUGCUGCGACGGAUGGAGAAGGAGAGAAGGAGUCAGGGGGUGCAGCAGGAGGAGAUGCAGUAUGACAGAAUCGCUCCUCUCUUCAGCAAGCCGUAUAAGAGAAUCAAAGAUGAUGAGCUGUCCAGUCUCAUCCAGAGGAUGCUGGGUAAUUAUGAGGAUGGAUAUGACGGACCUGAGGAACUUUGUCCUGCGCUUCCUUAUGACCGUUCCUCACACUUCCCUCACGUGGACGAGCAGUCUGUACAAAAGCAUCGCUCCAGAGACGCUCCAGACUGUGUGUCCGUCUCCGGGCCUCCUUCGGGUGAGAGCUGGGACAGUUUACCGGCCCUGUCUCCCCCGGUGGAGCCGCUGUCCCCUCUACAGUCCAGUGAAUCGGACGGCGGCCCGUCUCCAGAGCGCAGCAGCUCGAGCCGCAGGCCGGACGCGCCUCCGCUGACUCAUGCGCUCCCACUGAAUUUGCACGGAAAACUGGCCAACGCCAAGAAACCCACCGCAUAUGUGAGGCCGACGGUCGGUCAGGAUCAGGUGACCAGCGAUUCUCCCGAACUGAAGGCCUCACCGGAGUCUUAUGAGCACUUACAGGACCUGAAGGAUAGCAGCAAACCAAAGCUUCCUGCUCUGCAGUCGUCUGAUAUUGUGUCUGGUGUGCGUGUGGAGGACAUUCUACAGGAAAUGACCUCGUGGCCUCCACUACUGACGACCAUUUGCACGCCAACCACAGCAGAGCCAACUAAGUUCUCCUCCACUAAUGAGGUUAGAUCAGAAUAAAUGGUUUAGUUGGUCACUAAAAAACCAUAGCUUUUGAACUCAUUCUUGAGCUCAUUCUUUUUUGAACAUUCAUUCUUGUAAUUGCUUUGACAGGAGACAUGUGGAUUCCAGACUCUCAGUAAGUGUGUGUGUGUGAGUGUGUGUGUGUGUGUGUUCAUGGUGUCUUGGAUGGGUGAAGUUUCUAAGUCACAACAACUUGCUACUGGGGUUCCUCACGGCUCAGUACUUGGACCGCUUCUCUUCUCCAUCUACAUGAUGUCAUUAGGAUCUGUCAUUCAGAAGCGAUGGCUUUUCCUAUCACUGCUACGCUGCUACGCUGAUGACACUCAACUCUACUUCUCAUUCCAACCAGAUGACCCGACGGUAGUUGCUCGCAUUUCAGCCUGUCUGAGUGACAUUUCUAGCUGGAUGAAUGACCAUCACCUUCAGCUCAACCUUACUAAGACUGAACUGCUGGUGGUUCCAGCUAACCCAUCGUUUCAUCACAACUUCUCUAUACAGCUGGGUUCAUCAAGCAUAACUCCUUCCAGGACAGCCAGAAACCUAGGAGUUGUGAUGGAUCAUCAGUUAAGCUUCACAGACCAUAUUGCUACAACGGCCCGGUCCUGCAGAUUUGCCUUAUUCAACAUUAGGAAGAUUAGACCCUUCCUGUCAGAGCAAGCCACCCAACUUCUUGUCCAAGCUCUUGUUCUCUCCAGACUGGACUAUUGUAAUGCUCUUCUGGCGGGCCUUCCUGCAUGUACUAUCAAGCCUCUGCAACUGAUCCAGAAUGCAGCAGCGAGGGUUGUCUUCAAUGAGCCAAAAACAGCCCAUGUUACUCCUCUCCUCAUCAGGUUACACUGGCUACAUGACACA